rnacentral:lncRNA from 1 species
GUGGACUUGUCUGCCGGGCCAUUUCCUUCCCACCUAAGCUCCUGCCAGAUGGCUCCCAGUUGCUGUGUUUGAGCCCAGGCUGACCACUUCCUAGGCAGUGGCGUUGGAGAUGGGUGUGGCCUUGCCUCCAGGAUCUCCUCACAGCUUGUGCUUCCUGACAGCUGUGGACACUUGGGCUGACUGCAGACCUCCCGCUACCCUGAUUUCCAGCAACCUCUCUAGCUUUUCUUUGGAAGGAGCAAGAAAAAAAUGAAGUACAAGAAACGAAAUAAUCAGCUCUUGCAGCUCAGCGGUGGGCAUUCUUUGUGCGCUGGAAGGGAGAUCCAGUCACGGGGCAGAGUGAUCCCCUGAAGUUCCAGAAGUGCAGGGGAAGUAUCUCCUCAGAGGCGGCUAUUCCUGAAUGAGAAGUCCUCGGCAUCAGGGGGCAAGAGAGUAUGCCCACUGGAGCGCAGCC